rnacentral:lncRNA from 1 species
GCCGAGAUCGCACCACUGCAUUCCAGCCUGGGCGACGAGAGUGAAACUCUGUCUCAAAAGAAAAAAAAAAAGAAAAAGAAAAUGUUGCUAAGAAAUAUUUUCUUAGCUUCUUAAUUCACAUUUCAACAGGUUCUCUGACAAAUCAUUGACAAACAACUUGACCUCCCUUCAAUUCUCCAGGAUGAACAAAUAAGACAGGAUUUAUUGGCAGGAUUGAAUUGGGGCAGGGUAGGGGGCCCAGCAGGAUGUGUGGCCGGAGCACACUGCAUAGUUCCAACCUGCACCCCCCCUCCAUGAGUGCCACGGGGGGUGGGUCCCAUGAGCCAUGGCCUGCUACGUAAUUGGUGUUUAAUAAAUAUCUCUUGGGUGCAUAAAGGGAAUUUUUAAAAACUUAGUAGCAGAAGUUAGAAAAAGAAAUCUUGGUUGGUGGGGAGCUGUUUCCAAGAGACGAAACGGACUGAUUUUAAGCCUGGAAACCCCCCCUGAGUGGCCCUCUGCAGGCGGGACGGCCCCGCGGGCGCCCAGGCUGUCGCUGACGAUUGAUGUUCUCACCCCCGCCCGCCUCGGCUCUGGCCGCAGAAGGAAGGAAGCUGACGUUUAUUGAGGGUCUGCUCUGGGCUGCGUACCGUACACGGGUGACAUCGCCAAUUUCCCCCAGGUGAUAAGGAACAAUAUGGACUUCUUGCAGCUCCGGGAGGCAGACGCUGGAGGGCUGGUGACCUGAUCCCACAAAGCCCCGGAGGUGCUGUGGACCAACUUGCAACACAAGACGCUAGGAGGGAGGACGGCUGUUGGCAUCUGUUGACCACAAACACGUUUGCUGUGCACACUUGUGCACAUGGGUGAGCUCCGUGGGUCCAGACAUGUACAGGGCAGGUGAAUGCAUUGAGUACCAUGGGCAUUAUCCCAGGCCCACAGGCACGUGCAGUCACACACACACGUGGACAUGCCACUGCGCACCUAAGAGACACACACACACACACACACAUGCAUAUGCACACACACACAUAUGCACACACACACAGACACUGUAAACAUCAGGCUCAAAGGCCCAUCCAGGAGACCAAAGGCUGCAGGUGUCUUCACAUCACAGCCCAGGUGACCUUGUCUCUGGCUCAGGGCCCAGUGGCCUGGCCAGCUCUGGACAUCCAGUCAGCCUCACUAGCUGGCCUGGGGUCC